CUAGCCGUAAACGAUGGAUACUAGGCGUUGUGAGUAUCGACCCUCACAGUGUCGUAGCUAACGCGUUAAGUAUCCCGCCUGGGGAGUACGCGCGCAAGCGUGAAACUCAAAGGAAUUGACGGGGGCCCGCACAAGCGGUGGAGUAUGUGGUUUAAUUCGAUGCAACGCGAAGAACCUUACCGGGACUUGACAUGUCGCGAAUCUCAGGGAAACUUGAGAGUGCCUUCGGGAGCGCGAACACAGGUGGUGC
rnacentral:rRNA from 1 species